GUGGGAGGCUUUGAAGUGUGGACGCCAGUCUGCAUGGAGCCGACCUUGAAAUACCACCCUUUAAUGUUUGAUGUUCUAACGUUGACCCGUAAUCCGGGUUGCGGACAGUGUCUGGUGGGUAGUUUGACUGGGGCGGUCUCCUCCUAAAGAGUAACGGAGGAGCACGAAGGUUGGCUAAUCCUGGUCGGACAUCAGGAGGUUAGUGCAAUGGCAUAAGCCAGCUUGACUGCGAGCGUGACGGCGCGAGCAGGUGCGAAAGCAGGUCAUAGUGAUCCGGUGGUUCUGAAUGGAAGGGCCAUCGCUCAACGGAUAAAAGGUACUCCGGGGAUAACAGGCUGAUACCGCCCAAGAGUUCAUAUCGACGGCGGUGUUUGGCACCUCGAUGUCGGCUCAUCACAUCCUGGGGCUGAAGUAGGUCCCAAGGGUAUGGCUGUUCGCCAUUUAAAGUGGUACGCGAGCUGGGUUUAGAACGUCGUGAGACAGUUCGGUCCCUAUCUGCCGUGGGCGCUGGAGAACUGAGGGGGGCUGCUCCUAGUACGAGAGGACCGGAGUGGACGCAUCACUGGUGUUCGGGUUGUCAUGCCAAUGGCACUGCCCGGUAGCUAAAUGCGGAAGAGAUAAGUGCUGAAAGCAUCUAAGCACGAAACUUGCCCCGAGAUGAGUUCUCCCUGACUCCUUGAGAGUCCUGAAGGAACGUUGAAGACGACGACGUUGAUAGGCCGGGUGUGUAAGCGCAGCGAUGCGUUGAGCUAACCGGUACUAAUGAACCGUGAGG
rnacentral:rRNA from 1 species